UGGGGAAUCUUGCACAAUGGGGGAAACCCUGAUGCAGCGACGCCGCGUGAGCGAUGAAGCCCUUCGGGGUGUAAAGCUCUUUCGGCAGGAACGAUAAUGACGGUACCUGCAGAAGAAGCUGCGGCUAACUACGUGCCAGCAGCCGCGGUAAUACGUAGGCAGCAAGCGUUGUUCGGAGUUACUGGGCGUAAAGAGUGUGUAGGCGGUUCGCCAAGUUCGGUGUGAAAUCUCCCGGCUUAACUGGGAGGGUGCGCCGAAUACUGGCGGGCUAGAGUGCGGGAGAGGAGAGCGGAAUUCCUGGUGUAGCGGUGAAAUGCGUAGAUAUCAGGAGGAACACCUGCGGUGUAGACGGCUCUCUGGACCGUUUCUGACGCUGAGACACGAAAGCGUGGGUAGCAAACAGG
rnacentral:rRNA from 1 species